ACGAGACUGGCGUGGCCACCUCCAGGCGAUGAUGGACAUCUUCAACACCCACGGUUAUCUUGCGUGACCGAGUUCAUGAACACUGGAACAAGGUUUGGUGAAUGGACCAACCAGACUCUCAAGACUGCCAUGAGCAAGUCCAUUGACUGGUACCAAGAAGGUAAUUCUCUAUGAACACAACAACAGCAUCCAGGCCUCCACCGAGUACGGACGGGAGCCGCAGCUGUUGACUGAGAUCACUGAAACCCCACCUGAUGUGGUGGAAGUUGUCGAACCAGAUCAGAACGCCUUCGAGGACCACCUUCAGGCACGGACUGAGAAGGAUGCAGAGGUUUUUGACUAGGACCAUCGACUGUCCAAGCCCCCAGGAGGUAUCCCAUCCACCAGAACCAGUGAGUUCGGAUCAGUCUGAUUUUAUGAGUUGGAGGGGGACCAGCUUGAGGACCUAGGGGUUCUGCCAAACACCCAGAUGUAGAUCCACCUGAUGUCCAUUACCAACCACCCACUGUUAUUGUCAUGUUGUUAUUAUCUGCUAAGAAAAUGUUCUUGUUCUAUCAUACAUAAUAUGUGAGAUACACAGAUUAACUAAAUACACUAGAACUGCAGACACUCAGAACAAAGAGAGCCGCAGUGCCUGGACUUUGCAGUCUCCUUCAAGUUCCCCUUCCGAGACUGGCUGCCUGUUGAGAACAAGUGACAGGCAGCAACYAACUCCUCAAAAUUCCACACACCAGAAUUCAGUAUUUUAAUCUGAUUGCCAUGUGAGUGUACAAAAACAUUUGAAAAUAAUGACACACCUGUACCAAAAAAUAUCAAAGUUUAUGUAUUACAAUCUUAAAUAUUGCCAGGUUGGUUUUCACAGCUGUUUCACAAGGUGUUCAUUAUUGUCAGUUGUAUCCUUUGAUGCUCUUUAUUUGUUCCACAUGAUUCAUGGUUGUGUCCUAGGACCUACAAUAGAUACAUAUAUAUUCAACCACAAGGGUGUACUAAUGAGCUAUGAUAAUUCCUUUUAUCAUAAGAGGACUACUGAAAUUCUAUUAUUUCAGUGUAGAUAAGGGAAGGGCAGGUUAAAACAAAAACAUGACAGCCAGACAAGCCAGUGUAUGAAUCAAACGGAUUUGCAUAUGAUUGGAGUGGAAAUUAGUUGACUUCGUGAUCUGUAAGGUAAGUAACUUUAAUGUGUCAAGCAGAUUGCAGUGUUUAAGA